rnacentral:rRNA from 1 species
CCUACGGGAGGCAGCAGUGAGGAAUAUUGGUCAAUGGGCGCGAGCCUGAACCAGCCAAGCAGCGUGAAGGAUGAAUGUACUGCGUGUCGUAAACCUCUUUUGUAAGGGAAUAAAGUGGGGCACGAGUCCCUUGUUGUAUGUACUUUAUGAAUAAGGAUCGGCUAACUCCGUGCCAGCAGCCGCGGUAAUACGGAGGAUCCGAGCGUUAUCCGGAUUUAUUGGGGUUAAAGGGAGCGUAGAUGGGUUGUUAAGUCAGUUGUGAAAGUUUGGGGCUCAACCGUCAGAUUGCAGUUGAUACUGGCAGUCUUGAGUUCAGUUGAGGUAGGCGGAAUUCGCGGUGUAGCGGUGAAAUGCUUAGAUAUCACGAAGAACUCCGAUUGCGAAGGCAGCUUACCAAC